rnacentral:misc_RNA from 1 species
GCCCUUAUUUAUCAGAUCAAGAGUGAGGCCUGCAAAUUUCUAAUUCCCACUUGAAACUUCAAUUGGCUGCUUUGUAGUUAUAGGGCCACAAAAGCGUAAUGUGACCUGCUGUUAGCUUUGUUUUCUAUAUUUUUCUAUUCCAAAAUUUUUUUUUUUCUGGACAUAUUAUUGUCCCUCUCUUUAGACUAUUUUUCUUCUCAGCAUGUCACUUGUUAGUUUCUGCUGCCGAAUGCCCUUGACAUUCUUUCAAUGAUAAGUUGGCAGGAGUCCUUACACUGCUUUAGGCAUAUCUUUGGUAUGAAUGUGGAAGGAAGAUAUACAGAUAUGCAGGUUUACUUCAUUCCUGGCAACCAUGAUAUUGGCUAUGCAAGCAUCAAUUCUCAUCAUCCAGAGGUUGUCAGACGCUAUUUAGAAGGAUUUGGGAUUAGAAAUUUUUGGUUUACAGCUGGCAAAGUGGAGUUCAUUGCUGUCGAUGCUCAAACUCUCGAUGGUAAAGCAGUUAUCCAAUCUUCACUGACCAUAUAUUUGCAUUUCUGUUGUAUAAUGUAAGUAUAGCAGUUAAAUGUAAUCCCAAAUAUCUGUUAAUUUAUUUUCAUGAUCUGCAAUAUGAAUUUAUAAAAUUGCCUAAAUUUCUUAUAUGUCCUUAGCUCCUGGCAAGCAGCAACUUUAGUUGCUCUUUUCCCUUUACAAACCAUAUAACUAUUAUCCACUUCUGUGGUUUGCCUCAUCUGCUGUCAAGUUAAAAAUUUUACAACUUCAAAUAUUUUGAAGGAGCAUAUCUUUAUUUUGUCAUCACCACGCCACCCACAAGAAAAUUUGGCUUCUUUGACUUGGGAGUUUGUAAAAAAUGUUUCUACAGGUAUGUGAUAUUCGGUUCUUAUUUAGUUACCAAUGAGUUUGUGUUCACAACUUACAGAAUUUUCCCUUUUUCAUUUCUCUAGACAUUCAAUUAGUUCCAAGGGUUUUAUUGACCGAUAUUCCAUUGUAUCGGAGGCAUGAUACUCAUUGUGGCCCUCACCGUAGUUCUCCAAUCAUCAAUCAGGUACCAGAAUUAUGUUACUGAGGAAUCCUCGUACAAAUUGCUGGAGUUAGUGAAGUCUGUAAAUCACUUUCAUGUCCUUGAUUCAUCCUAUGGAUACAAUGUUUGCUUUAAUAGGGGUGCAGUGUUUUCUUUGCAUCCGUGUGCAUGGCAGCCAAAUGCUUAUCAGUUUGUGAGUUUGAAUGUGGUGUAAGUUACAAGAAUAUAUGUUGUCAUGGUCUUGUGUCCAAGCAGGCUCAAAGAAGUGUAAUGCUUCUGACAUUUAACUAGAUUACUAAUGAAGUAUUUUUGAACCGUUGAUGGGAAAAACAAAGAGAGAGAGAUGAUUUCUUGUAUGUGUUUCUUCUAAAACGACAUACAAAUAUGUACACAGUGUAUGCAUAUAAACAUGUUCUUGGAGAAGAUACUUUAACUGGCAAUAAUAUAUAUGGUUUCUUGCAGGCAUUAAUUUUAUCAGGACAUGAUCAUGACCAGUGUACAGUGAUACAUGAGUCAAAAUUUGGGUCCAUAACAGAGGUAAUCAUUUGAUAUUUUGGCAUUUAUAAGUUUUCUGGGGAUAGGCUUUAAUUGACAAUUACAUGCAGCACACUUUAGGGACUAUAAGCUGGCAGCAGGGAAACUUGUACCCGUCUUUCAUGCUAUUGUCUAUUAGUAACUCUGCAAAUGCCAAUGUGUCCACCCCAGAAGAUGCAUUAAUUUCUCAACUAUGCUUUCUUCCGUGGCAAACACACAUUUACAUAUGGUAUCUUUCCCUCUUCGUUCUGACCCUACUUACUCUCCUCUUUUGGCCAACAAGUGGGAUAAGUUUGGGGCAUCACUUGAGUGGUUUAAUGGAAUGUAUGAGACUCUACAGCAGCAUGUUUAGAGGAGGGAAAGAGAAAAAUGAAGAUGAGAAUUGUGAAUAUGAAAUGAUGUGGGAUGCAAAAGGAACCAUGCAUCUUGUGAAGAAAGCAAUAGAUACUCCUAUUCCACUCCCAAGUGAUAAGCUUCAGUUGAAAGUUGUUUCGUCUCUGCAUUGUCAUUAGCAUUAAUCAAUAUUAUACAUAAUACAAACUUAAAAUUUGCAUCUCCUUGUUAUUUGUUAGCUUUUAUACUUUGGAAAUACUUAUGUUACUCUUUUCUAUAUGAUUUAUCUUUUGCCCCCUUAUUUUAUAUGUUUUUUAAUAUGAUGGCAGGGGUAAUGCUGUGAUACGGCCAACAGCAAGAAAAAACAUUUCUCAGGAGAUGGAGGUUUCUAUGAACUUCGACAUCAAUGUAGAGGUUGGAAAUGAUCCAAACAUAAAAUUACCACAUAGAACAAGCAAAUCAAAGACAAGGAUCAUUAUCCAAAGACUAAUGAGGACCUUCAGAAAGGUGACAGUCAUUGCUGCGGUAAAUGUACCUAUAUACAUGAUGUUGCUCUUCAAAGACUGGAUCGACCAGUGACCUUAGAAUACCACAUCGUGAAAAGAUUAUGCUUAAGGUGACUUCUUACUCCUUUUAUUGUACGUGAACGGAUGCCAUUGCCAAAGUUAUCUCCCAUUUGAAGUUCCAAGUAGCCAGUGCAGCAGUCUGGGAAAUUCAUUAUGCUUUUAAUGCAUUUUAGCAGCUGCAAAAUGUGACAGUGAAAUCAGCAUAGUUUCUUAGUUUUUCUCUUCUUGGCAGAUUAUAGAAUGCAUUUGGUGGAUGUUCUCUUCACUCACAUUGGUGUGGAGCUCACUUUCCGUAAAUUUAUGGGAGGACUCACAUUUAUUUGAGUGCAAGGAGCACUAAAAUUGAGUGCUCUAGGUGCACUCACUAAUUUCCCUUGCUGCUUUUUUUGUAGAGAAUUUGGCAGUUGGAACUUGCAGUUGUUGUAAUGGUGAAAUCAGUGAAACUCUUAACUUUCUUAUUAUUUUGUUUUAUUCAGAAAAGUGGCAGUAUUAAUUUUCAUCAAAAGGCCCUUACUGGCAAAAGAUGUACUCAAAUACCUCUAAUGGCAAAGAUAUUAUAGAUC